CUGGCUAAGGAGCUUUAAGGUUCCUGUAUUUAAAGGCAAAAGCACAGCUUCAGUAAUUUGCCAUUGUACUGAAUCAAGGGCUGCAGCAACAUUAAUCUGUAAGAACCACAAUUCCUCAGUUCAAAAUGGGAAAACAAAAGGCAAUAAUCAGAAAAAUUGAAGAUUCGUUCAGAAUAAGAAAUCUAUUGCUUAGACAAUGUCUUGCUGAAUGUUUAGGAACAUUGAUUCUUGUGUUGUUUGGAUGUGGAGCGCUGGCACAAGUUACCCUCAGCAGGGGCACACAUGGAAGGUUUUUGACUGUCAAUUUUGCUUUUGGAUUUGCAGUAAUGCUUGGUGUUCUAUUAGCUGGCCAAGUGUCAGGUGCUCACCUGAACCCUGCUGUGACCUUUGCUAUGUGCUUACUUGCUCGCGAACCCUGGAUAAAAUUUCCCUUUUACUCUUUGGCACAAAUACUAGGUGGCUUCCUUGGAUCUGGUGUCAUUUUUGGUUUGUAUUUUGAUGCCAUGUGGGACUUCAGUGGUCAAAAUAAACUGUUGGUAUAUGGCCCCAAUGCAACUGCUGGCAUAUUUGCUACUUACCCAUCUGCACAUCUAACUCCACUCAAUGGCUUUUUUGAUCAGCUGAUUGGAACUAGCGCUCUGAUAGUUUGCAUCCUUGCUAUUGUGGAUAAAUUCAAUAACCCAGUGCCAAAGGGUGUGGAGGCAUUUACAGUUGGCUUUACUGUACUGGUCAUUGGCUUGUCAAUGGGCUUCAACUCUGGCUAUGCUGUGAACCCUGCCAGAGAUUUUGGACCUCGUUUGUUUACAGCGUUGGCUGGCUGGGGAGCUGAAGUUUUCAUUGCUGGACACUACUGGUUUUGGAUUCCAAUUAUUGCCCCCCUCCUUGGAUCUGUACUUGGCACUCUGGUAUAUCAACUAAUGAUUGGGAUACAUCUUGAGCCUGUAAAUCAUAAUUUACCCACUAGAGAAGAAAAUGUAAAACUGGCUAAUGUAAAUUUAAGAGAAAGCUCUUGAUACAUCAUGGAUCAUGGUCAGAGAUUGUCAAAUAAGUAUUUGUGAUACUCCUGAGAUGCUGCUUGUGUUCAUCCAGCUCCACACUUUGUUAUCUCGGAUUCUCCAGCAUCUGCAGUUCCCAUUAUCACUGAUACCAUUUGUGAUACUCCAUGCAUUUUCUCAUAAUAAAUCCCAAAAUUUGAUUUCAGUAGCUCCUGAUUUAUACCACUCAAAAUUCAUGUAUUUAAAAGCAGACCCAAGUGACAUAAAUGUUUCAGAUAUAAUAGGAACUGCAGAUGCUGGAGAAUCUGAGAUAACAGGGUGUGGAGCUGGAUGAACACAGCAGGCCUAGCAGUAUCUUAGGAGCCUGCUCCUCUGAUGCUGCUUGGCCUGCUCUGUUCAUCCAGCUCCACACCUUGUUAUCUGUGACAUAAAUGCUUAUCUUGUUCGAAUGAUUUUUAAAAAUUCAUUUGCAGGAUGUAAUCACUGAUUAGGCCAACAUUUACUUCUCAUCUCUAAUUGCCUAGAGGGCAGUUAAAAAUCAACCACAUUGUUGUAGGUCUGGAAUCACGUGUAGGCCAGACCAGGUAAAACCAACAGAUUGGAUAUUAUUGAACCAGAUGGGUUUUUCCUGACAAUUGACAUCAUUUGACUCUUAAUUCCCAAUUUGUUUUUGUUUUUUAAUUGAAUUUAAAUUCCACCAUCUUAGCCGAUAACUUACAAAUAAAGGCACAUUUUCCUUGAUGGGCAUUCACUGUUCAGUGGAAUGAAAAGGGAAAGUUUUGGACAAACUCAGCAGGUCUAGCAGCAUCUGUGGAGAAAGAAACAGAGUUUAACAUUUCAGGUUCAAUAUAACCUUUCUUCAUUCUGCAGUACUUUGCUUUUGUCUGACUGGUCAGUGGACAUUGUGCUUAUCCUGUAAAGCUGCUCCCAACCUGGACCAUGAGUGUAAAAGGAUGAGGAGGAAACUGGAGCUGAGGUGUAGGUCUCAGAUGCCUCUGGCUGUUUCAGGCUUGUUUAGACAGAGUCAUUCUGAUCAUCAGUAAUUGGAAAGUCUUGACUGCUGGGAUUCCAGGGUUAGGUAGAAUGUUUUAAAUUUUUACUUUGACUUCAUAUUUCCAACCUGUUCCUUGGGUUUCUAUUGGGCAUCUGGGUAGUUUGUAAUAACAGUUUAUCAUAAAUAAAUGUUCGAGUCCCAAGAAAAUGUUUUGAGACAUCUACUAAUUUGAUUGUUUAAAAUGUAGCUUUAAAAUAUGGUCACAGAAUUUAGAUUUAAUCAUUUGGGCUGUAAUUUACACUGUCACUGUCACUACACAUAUACGCACAUACAUAUUUAGGGCCCAAAUUCUCCCACGUCCGAGCCCCCUACCCCACACACCAAGCUUUGUCCUCACACAGCCUGCCAUUACACACUACCUGUUGUUAGUCAUUAACAGUCCCCAUUAACAGCUAUUCACCCUCCAAGCCAGAUUGUUAACAACUCCUUUGUCUAUCCAACUGCUCUUCUGUCUCUUUGGGCUCUCUCCUUUAUCCUAUCGUUUACGCCCUACCCUUUCCCCACCCUAUUUUCUGCACAUAAACCAACAUUUUCCUAGCUGCCAUCAAUUCUAAGGAAGAAUCACUGGGCCUAAAAUGUUAACUCUGAUUUUUUUCUUGACAGAUGCUGCCAGAUCUGCUGAGCUUUUCCAGCAACUUCUGUUUUUGUCCCUGAUUUACUGCGCCUGCAGCUCUUUCGGUUUUCACUACACAUGUAGGAUUGGAGCAUCCUGCAUCACAGGCUGCAAUGAGCAAGUCAAUUAUCAACAUCAACUAAGUUGCACCACCCAGGAGCAGCAACCUGGGACAAGUAGACUUGACCUGAUUGAAAUCAUAGAGUCAUAGUCUUGUACAGCACAGAAAAAAGACCCUUCAGCCCAUCAAGUCUGUACCUGUCAAAAACAAUCAUUUAACUAAUCUAAUCCCAUUUUCCAACAGAUUGUCUGAAGAAGGGUCACUGGACUAAAAGCAUAACUAUGUUUUCUCUCCAGACCUGUUGAGAUUCUCCAGCAAAUUCUACUUUUGCCCAUAUUCCAAUAGUUGGCCUAUAGCCACGUGUGCCUUGGCAUCUAAAUUCCUCCUAAAUGUUAAGAGGAUUUCUGUCUCUAUCACACUCUCAGGCAGCGAGUCCCAGAUUCCCACGAAAAAAAAAUUUCCUUGUGUCAACUUUAAACCUCUUGCUCCUCGCCCCCGGUCCUUUAUCCUUUCACCAAGGAGAAACAUUUCUUCCUGUCUACCUUGUCUAUGGCCCUCAUAAGUUUUAUACUCUCAAUCAUAUCCGCCCACUCGGUCUCCUCUGAUUGAAGAAAAACAAACCCAGUCUCUCCACACUUUGUUGUCUCGGAUUCUCCAACAUCUGCAGUUCCCAUUAUCACUGAUACAAUUUUAACCAGUCUGUCCAAUCUCUCUUCAUGACCAAAAUUCUCCAGGUCUGGCAACAUCCCUUUUGUUACAAAAACCUCUUUGUUCCCUGUGCAUAACAUCACAACCAUAUCCCUGCCUCAGUUCAACUGCUGAGUCCACUAUUCCACUGGCUAACUGUCACCUCCCCAAUCUCUGUAAACCAGCUUAAUCAGGACUCCACUGCUUGUAUGUUAUCUCUACCGGGUCUUGCUUAUGUGUAACGCAUGAUCCUGCUGACUUACUGUGGUUACUGCUCUUGCGUUGAUAAAAUUCUUAGCUAUGUGUUCAAAUUCCUUGGUGGUUUUUCCGAUCUCUGUAAUGUAUUCAUCCCAAGGAUUACCCCCACUGUGUGCUGAUGCUUGAACUCUUGUCUUUUUUGUGCAUAUGUUUGGCACAUGUGUAUUUACAGGAGCUGUUGAGACUAGCUUUCUGCCUGCAAAGGAAGCAUCACUGCAACUUCCAGCCUUAUUAUGCCUCAUUGAAAGAAGUGGAUUUCAGUGUUAUCUCUGAAUGCACCAUGAUCAUCACAUGAGCUUACUUUUUUUUAUUAGUCUUGCGUUAGAUUUCAAAGUUGUUUUUAAACUGUGCUGAAAUCUGUGGAGGAUGCUAGUUUCUGGUAUCCAAUGAGCUGAACUGUCGAAGUGAAUUUUCUUUAUUUUGCUACAACAGCUAAGUCAUUUUAGGUCUUCCAAGUUGACAAUCAUAAUUGCUCCUGGAGUUACCUUGGGAUGUUAGUUAACUAUACAAAGCCUGGGUAACAGAAGCUGGCCUUGCUAAACUGAAUCUUUUUAGAAUAUAAAAGCAGAUCACAUACUAGCUAUAAAAUUUCAGAAAGAUACCAUUCAGCCUAAGUUUUAUUUGUUUUAAAACUGCUGAUGAGUUUUAGUUGAUGGAAUGUAAAUACAGUAAUGCUAGCUUAACUGGGACUUUAUUCUAGGAUUUUGAUUUCAUUAAAAAUAGUUUCUGAAACUAUAAACAGUAGUAGAUACAAUAUUUUGAUACUUGUCAAAUAUCAAGUUAUUGCCAUUUUAUAUAUGGUUGUGGGAUCAAAGGAAGUGAACAUAAAAGAAAUAAUCUUCUGUACCGUUUGUAUUAUCAUGUAAAAUGCGUUCCAAGACAGAAAAAAAAACAUAGUACCUGUACAGCAAACAAAAAAGUCAGCAUAAAGUCACAGUGCAUAUUUCCUAAAGAAAAGCUCAGAAAUAAAGUGGCUACUUGAGUAAUAAUCAAUAAACCCUGCUGUUUCACAUUGACAGAAGAUGCAUCCUUACUUAGAAGUCUACAGGCUAUUUUAAGGGUAUCUUUUCUGCUCCUCAUAUAUUGCUAAUUUCUGUUUACAAGUGGGGACAAAUUAAACAAUAAAAUUGGUUUUGAAUAAUGG